UUUCAAGUGUCUGAAGUGCAUUUGAAGCUUCUACAAGGAUUAUCCAGAAGGAUAUGUUUUACCUCUGUAGUCUUAAUGUAACUUAAAGUAUAACAAUCUAUUAACACCGUGCUGCACAGAUUUCUCAGCAUGGAGAAAUGGCUUGGAUGGAGAUUAGGCUUGGCUGAAGGUCACUUUCCAGCUGCAGUCUAGCUCACCCAACUGGCUUACAUCCAUUUGUGUGGCUUUGUCCUUACGGUGAUUGGUUGGAUUCUGUGCCU
rnacentral:lncRNA from 11 species